rnacentral:rRNA from 1 species
CCUACGGGAGGCAGCAGUGGGGAAUCUUGCGCAAUGGGCGAAAGCCUGACGCAGCCAUGCCGCGUGAAUGAUGAAGGUCUUAGGAUUGUAAAAUUCUUUCACCGGGGACGAUAAUGACGGUACCCGGAGAAGAAGCCCCGGCUAACUUCGUGCCAGCAGCCGCGGUAAUACGAAGGGGGCUAGCGUUGCUCGGAAUUACUGGGCGUAAAGGGAGCGUAGGCGGAUAGUUUAGUCAGAGGUGAAAGCCCAGGGCUCAACCUUGGAAUUGCCUUUGAUACUGGCUAUCUUGAGUAUGGGAGAGGUUAGCGGAACUCCGAGUGUAGAGGUGAAAUUCGUAGAUAUUCGGAAGAACACCAGUGGCGAAGGCGGCUAACUGGCCCAUUACUGACGCUGAGGCUCGAAAGCGUGGGGAGCAAACAGGAUUAGAUACCCUGGUAGUCCACGCCGUAAACGAUGAGUGCUAGUUGUCGGCAUGCAUGCAUGUCGGUGACGCAGCUAACGCAUUAAGCACUCCGCCUGGGGAGUACGGUCGCAAGAUUAAAACUUAAAGGAAUUGACGG